GAUGAACGCUGGCGGCGUGCCUAAUACAUGCAAGUCGAGCGAACAGACGAGGAGCUUGCUCCUCUGACGUUAGCGGCGGACGGGUGAGUAACACGUGGAUAACCUACCUAUAAGACUGGGAUAACUUCGGGAAACCGGAGCUAAUACCGGAUAAUAUAUUGAACCGCAUGGUUCAAUAGUGAAGGACGGUUUUGCUGUCACUUAUAGAUGGAUCCGCGCCGCAUUAGCUAGUUGGUAAGGUAACGGCUUACCAAGGCAACGAUGCGUAGUCGACCUGAGAGGGUGAUCGGCCACACUGGAACUGAGACACGGUCCAGACUCCUACGGGAGGCAGCAGUAGGGAAUCUUCCGCAAUGGGCGAAAGCUUGACGGAGCAACGCCGCGUGAGUGAUGAAGGUCUUCGGAUCGUAAAACUCUGUUAUUAGGGAAGAACAAAUGUGUAAGUAACUAUGCACGUCUUGACGGUACCUAAUCAGAAAGCCACGGCUAACUACGUG
rnacentral:rRNA from 1 species